UACGUAGGGGGCAAGCGUUGUCCGGAUUUAUUGGGCGUAAAGAGCGUGUAGGCGGCUAGAUAGGUCCGUUGUGAAAACUCGAGGCUCAACCUCGGGCCUGCAGUCGAUACGGGCAGACUAGAGUUCGGUAGGGGAGACUGGAAUUCCUGGUGUAGCGGUGAAAUGCGCAGAUAUCAGGAGGAACACCGGUGGCGAAGGCGGGUCUCUGGGCCGAUACUGACGCUGAGGAGCGAAAGCGUGGGGAGCGAAAAGG
rnacentral:rRNA from 1 species